rnacentral:rRNA from 1 species
GUACUUCUGGUUACUGCGAUGGAGGGACGGAGAAGGCUAGGCCAGCUUGGCGUUGGUUGUCCAAGUUUAAGGUGGUAGGCUGAAAUCUUAGGUAAAUCCGGGGUUUCAAGGCCGAGAGCUGAUGACGAGUCGUCUUUUAGAUGACGAAGUGGUUGAUGCCAUGCUUCCAAGAAAAGCUUCUAAGCUUCAGGUAACCAGGAACCGUACCCCAAACCGACACAGGUGGUCGGGUAGAGAAUACCAAGGCGCUUGAGAGAACUCGGGUGAAGGAACUAGGCAAAAUGGCACCGUAACUUCGGGAGAAGGUGCGCCGGCUAGGGUGAAGGAUUUACUCCGUAAGCUCUGGCUGGUCGAAGAUACCAGGCCGCUGCGACUGUUUAUUAAAAACACAGCACUCUGCAAACACGAAAGUGGACGUAUAGGGUGUGACGCCUCCCCGGUGCCGGAAGGUUAAUUGAUGGGGUUAGCGCAAGCGAAGCUCUUGAUCGAAGCCCCGGUAAACGGCGGCCGUAACUAUAACGGUCCUAAGGUAGCGAAAUUCCUUGUCGGGUAAGUUCCGACCUGCACGAAUGGCGUAACGAUGGCGGCGCUGUCUCCACCCGAGACUCAGUGAAAUUGAAAUCGCUGUGAAGAUGCAGUGUAUCCGCGGCUAGACGGAAAGACCCCGUGAACCUUUACCGUAGCUUUGCACUGGACUUUGAGCCUGCUUGUGUAGGAUAGGUGGGAGGCUUUGAAGCGUGGACGCCAGUUCGCGUGGAGCCAUCCUUGAAAUACCACCCUGGCAUGCUUGAGGUUCUAACUCUGGUCCGUAAUCCGGAUCGAGGACAGUGUAUGGUGGGCAGUUUGACUGGGGCGGUCUCCUCCUAAAGAGUAACGGAGGAGUACGAAGGUGCGCUCAGACCGGUCGGAAAUCGGUCGCAGAGUAUAAAGGCAAAAGCGCGCUUGACUGCGAGACAGACACGUCGAGCAGGUACGAAAGUAGGUCUUAGUGAUCCGGUGGUUCUGUAUGGAAGGGCCAUCGCUCAACGGAUAAAAGGUACUCCGGGGAUAACAGGCUGAUACCGCCCAAGAGUUCAUAUCGACGGCGGUGUUUGGCACCUCGAUGUCGGCUCAUCACAUCCUGGGGCUGAAGCCGGUCCCAAGGGUAUGGCUGUUCGCCAUUUAAAGUGGUACGCGAGCUGGGUUUAGAACGUCGUGUGACAGUUCGGUCCCUAUCUGCCGUGGACGUUUGAGAUUUGAGAGGGGCUGCUCCUAGUACGAGAGGACCGGAGUGGACGAACCUCUGGUGUUCCGGUUGUCACGCCAGUGGCAUUGCCGGGUAGCUAUGUUCGGAAAAGAUAACCGCUGAAAGCAUCUAAGCGGGAAACUUGCCUCAAGAUGAGAUCUCACUGGGAACUUGAUUCCCCUGAAGGGCCGUCGAAGACUACGACGUUGAUAGGCUGGGUGUGUAAGCGUUGUGAGGCGUUGAGCUAACCAGUACUAAUUGCCCGUGAG